rnacentral:rRNA from 1 species
CCUACGGGAGGCUGCAGUGAGGAAUAUUGGGCAAUGGACGAGAGUCUGAAGCAGCCAAGUAGCGUGAAGGAUGAAUGCCCUCGGGGUUGUAAACUUCUUUUAUAUGGGAGUAAAAAGUUGCACGUAAGGAAGCAUGUAUUGACUAUAUGAAAAAGGAUAGGCUAACUCCGUGCCAGCAGCCGCGGUAAUACGGAGGAUCCGAGCGUUAUCCGGAUUUGUUGUGUUUAAAGGGAGCGUAGGUGGUUUGUUAAGUCAGUUGUGAAAGUUUGCGGCUCAACCGUAGAAUGUCAGUUGAAACUGGCAGUCUUGAGUGCAGUAGAGGUGAGCGGAAUUCGUGGUGUAGCGGUGAAAUGCUUAGAUAUCACGAAGAACUCCGAUUGCGAAGGCAGCUCACUGGACUGCAACUGACACUGAGGUGCGAAAGUGUGGGUAUCAAACAGGAUUAGAUACCCGUGUAGUC